rnacentral:rRNA from 1 species
UGCAAGUCGAGCGGUAGAGAGAAGCUUGCUUCUCUUGAGAGCGGCGGACGGGUGAGUAAUGCCUAGGAAUCUGCCUGGUAGUGGGGGAUAACGCUCGGAAACGGACGCUAAUACCGCAUACGUCCUACGGGAGAAAGCAGGGGACCUUCGGGCCUUGCGCUAUCAGAUGAGCCUAGGUCGGAUUAGCUAGUUGGUGAGGUAAUGGCUCACCAAGGCGACGAUCCGUAACUGGUCUGAGAGGAUGAUCAGUCACACUGGAACUGAGACACGGUCCAGACUCCUACGGGAGGCAGCAGUGGGGAAUAUUGGACAAUGGGCGAAAGCCUGAUCCAGCCAUGCCGCGUGUGUGAAGAAGGUCUUCGGAUUGUAAAGCACUUUAAGUUGGGAGGAAGGGCAUUAACCUAAUACGUUAGUGUUUUGACGUUACCGACAGAAUAAGCACCGGCUAACUCUGUGCCAGCAGCCGCGGUAAUACAGAGGGUGCAAGCGUUAAUCGGAAUUACUGGGCGUAAAGCGCGCGUAGGUGGUUUGUUAAGUUGGAUGUGAAAUCCCCGGGCUCAACCUGGGAACUGCAUUCAAAACUGACAAGCUAGAGUAUGGUAGAGGGUGGUGGAAUUUCCUGUGUAGCGGUGAAAUGCGUAGAUAUAGGAAGGAACACCAGUGGCGAAGGCGACCACCUGGACUGAUACUGACACUGAGGUGCGAAAGCGUGGGGAGCAAACAGGAUUAGAUACCCUGGUAGUCCACGCCGUAAACGAUGUCAACUAGCCGUUGGGAGCCUUGAGCUCUUAGUGGCGCAGCUAACGCAUUAAGUUGACCGCCUGGGGAGUACGGCCGCAAGGUUAAAACUCAAAUGAAUUGACGGGGGCCC